AGAACGAACGCUGGCGGCAGGCUUAACACAUGCAAGUCGAACGCCCCGCGAGGGGAGUGGCAGACGGGUGAGUAACGCGUGGGAAUCUACCCAGAACUUCGGAACAACUGAGGGAAACUUCAGCUAAUACCGGAUACGCCCUACGGGGGAAAGAUUUAUCGGUUCUGGAUGAGCCCGCGUUGGAUUAGCUAGUUGGUGGGGUAAUGGCCCACCAAGGCGACGAUCCAUAGCUGGUCUGAGAGGAUGAUCAGCCACACUGGGACUGAGACACGGCCCAGACUCCUACGGGAGGCAGCAGUGGGGAAUAUUGGACAAUGGGCGAAAGCCUGAUCCAGCCAUGCCGCGUGAGUGAUGAAGGCCUUAGGGUUGUAAAGCUCUGUGGGGAGGGACGAAUAAGCCUGGUGAUAAUAACACCGGGCCCUGGACGGUACCUCCUUAGCAAGCCACCGGCUAACCCUGUGCCAGCAGCCGC
rnacentral:rRNA from 1 species